CCUACGGGUGGCUGCAGUCUAGAGGCUUCGGCAAUGGACGAAAGUCUGACCGAGCGACGCCGCGUGCGGGAUGAAGGGCUUCGGCUUGUAAACCGCUUUUCUUUGGGAAGAAGGCCUGCUUCGCGAAAGUGGGAUUGACGGUACCAGAGGAAUAAGCCCCGGCUAACUCCGUGCCAGCAGCCGCGGUAAGACGGAGGGGGCAAGCGUUGUUCGGAAUUAUUGGGCGUAAAGGGCUCGUAGGCGGAUCGGUAAGUCUGAUGUGAAAUCUCCACUGC
rnacentral:rRNA from 1 species